CUUUUGGCUAAGAUCAAUUGUAGUAUCUGUUCUUAUCAGUUUAAUAUCUGAUACGUGGGUCAUCGACUCACAUGAUAUUAAAUUAUUUUUUUGAGGGGGAAGUGCCAUAAACAAUAGCUUGCUAUUGGGCACUUCAAGUGUCGUCCAUGCGUUGCACUGCUGCAAGAACCCGGCGCACCCCACCAAAUCUCUAUUGUUAAAUGAUUUGUUUCUCUGUUAGCCGUUGUAAAGCGUCUGUCUUUUUUUUUUGUGUCAUUUUCAAGCAAGUUGGGUUCUCAGCAUGCAAGACUAACUUAUAAAUAGCAGGCCACCGUUUCGUAUGGGAGCUAAUGAUUUUUGGACUGUUGGCUCCGGGAAGACAAUGGAAAAACGAACCCUGGUCCGGAACUCCGUCGGCGCAAUGCUCAGAUGUUUGCGGCUUUAUUGCGUUUGUUUUAGUCGUCUAUUUGUUUAGAUACGUUCUAAAUCAAAAUCCAAGUUUUUGUCAUCUUUUUCCUCCUUUCUUGUUCUCUUUUUUUUGCACGAGUUUUUUCUUCUUUUUUCCCUGUUCUUGUAGCCUCUAUCGAUCAAGCAAAAAGUAUUCGUUCGCUCUAGUCAUCUCUUUAGAUCCGCCUUUCUCUUUCACUCUUGUUAUCUUCUUUCGAUCAAGCAAGCGAUUAAUUCUUUACAAAAUCGAGAAGAAAGGGUCCAACUUAUUUUUUCUUAUUUACAUACCAGUACAGGUCCAUCGCCCUCCGAUCUUGCUGCUUCUUUUACGAGAAAGUUAUGAGCUAUUUAAAUGCAAUACACCAGUUUCUUGCUCACAUCAAGUCAAUAAGAACACGUCUCUACAAGCUUCUGAAAUAAUUGCUAAAAACAACUCCUUAAUUGCAGUAAAAAUUUUCAUUGUUCUUCUGUUACAUAUUAUCCAUCAAUAAAUUGUUUGAUCCUCUCUUUCUACAUA